rnacentral:tRNA from 1 species
CGGGGUGUAGCACAGCUUGGUAGUGCGCCUGUUUUGGGAACAGGAGGUCGUCAGUUCGAAUCUGGCCACCCCGA